rnacentral:lncRNA from 1 species
AAACAAAAGUGUAAUAUUUCUUUUGUCGGAAACAAGAUCCGCAUAAAGGUUCCGGCACUAAUCAAACGAAUGUCGCCGCGUUAAGACCGCGUUCAAUGUGCAAGCUAUAAUAGCUAAUAGCUAUACUAUAUUUUGUUACUACGAAGUUAUAAAUAGAGCAUUUAAUAAAUUAAAAUUACAACAGUUCGAGAUUUCAAGCCGGGUGCAUUAUCAGUUUCAAAAUCAGAAUGGGCUCGCAACCUAUUAACCACGCUGCUGAAAUGACUGAAACCACACCAUUUUAUUCGCAAGUUUGUGAAAAACCGAAUGAUCCGCUCAAUUAUUCUCAAGACAUGGAUGCGUACCUGAAAUACCAGGAUUUGCUCCUGAAUCCAUCUUUAGAAAUUCCAUUAUCAGGUACACCAGCAAAAAGUCAGAAGAAAAUCGCUAAGAAAGGAAAGAGGAAAAUAAAAGAAAUGGGUUUAAAUUCCCAUGUCAUCAGAAAGGUUACAAAAGGAAAGCGUCUGAUUAAAAUCAGUAUAUCCGAUUUGGAGCAAUCAAAUAUCGAAUCUAAUGGGGUUACAGUACAAUAUGUUGUUCAAGAUGACUAUGAUGAGUUAUUAAAUGCAACUGAAGGUCUGGUAGAAAAAAUUGUAAAAAAGUUGAGUGAAGUGAGUAAUUAUUAGAAAAUUUUAUGUUAUAAAAUGUACUUUACUUUUUAGUUAGUCGUCGUGCUUGUAAUAUAUCUCAUUACUUAAAUAAAAUGGUUUCAUGAUAAAUUAAUUGUUUUAUUUUUAACAUACUAAAACAUAGAGAAUAAAUACGAUAUUAUUUUUAGAGUUUUACCACUCACAAUAUAGUUGAAAUAUGUAUACUGAGAUCUAUUAUAUAUCAAAACCAUUUAUAAUUCAUGUAAAUCGUGAUCAUUUUAUAAGAUAAACAUAGCGAGUGAGCAACCAGGUAAACUGACUCAAAUUACAACUAAAUGAGUGAUUGCAAUUUCGCAUACUGUUCAAUGUAUGUCAUGAUUUUAAUAUAAUCAAAAUUUGAACCUUAUAUCUUUAUGAAAAGUUCUGCUUUGCAAAGUGCAGUAUAUGACAUACGCUAGCCUUUAAUUUAUACUGAACUCUUUGUUAUGGGUGUCAAAGAAGAUCAUAUUUUAUAUACGUUAUUUUAAACCAUAUAUUACAAAAUUCGUAGUAGAUAUGACGUGGGAGUACGUAAUCCGAAACAGCCAAUAGCAUAACUGGGUCUACAUCACACUUAUAAAGUUUUUACAAUGUUUCAUAUAAAUAAAAAUGGUGAUGUGUAGUAUGUCGGGUUGUGACGACCGACAACCUCAACACGUAAACCAUUCCUUGGCUUGGCCAACCGAGGCAUGUAGUGUUGAAUUCGAGACUUGGGGAUCUCUGUAUUUACGCGGUCGAUAGAUAUGGAAUCCCAUACCCGGAGGGGGUCAAACUCAAUCGAUGCAUGUAAAACGCGACUACACCAGAGUUCACACUUUGGGGGUCCAUUCGUGUUCUGCGACGCUGACGAGCUGAUCAGACACGUUGUGUGUAAACGCCACUGUCAAUCGAGCAAACGCUUGAGAGAGACCACAUCUGAGAUUGGCCACCUCGGAGAGUGUGUUGCGUUAAGCUUUU